rnacentral:lncRNA from 1 species
UUGCUGGAGAACUCUGUCUACCUGAGGCCUUCUAAAGGUAAGCAGCUCUUCUUCAUUUCUGCAUCUGUGCUGCUGCAUUUGGGCUUGAUCUUAUUUGCUGUAGCUGAAGGUUUUGCCACCCUAUUAUUAUCAUCCCGUUAUAGCAUUAAACUGGUGAAACAUGCUGAAGGGUAAUCCUGAAUUCAAAGGGACCUCUGCACACGUUCUUUCCCCUGUAAACGAGCUCUAAACCCAAGUAUGGGUUCAGUGUGACCAUCUGGUCUGUUCGAGAGAGCCCAGCACCAUUUGCAUCUCAGCAUUGAGGCAAACAGGCCCCUGGAUCACACCAAGCACAGCUCAUUAGAGCACACACCAGUUGCAUGAGGUGACUUAUGGCACUUCUGUGGCAGAGGUGGUGAUAGGAAAAUGGCACUCUGGGCAGCAUUAAUCAGCCUUACCCAUGAGCUCACCCCGUCUGACUCACCUGCUUUGCACUUCCCAUUUUCCCCAGCAGGUGCAGGAGAUGUUUCCAGUCCUUUUCCUCCCGCAGCCUCAAUUGGCUCCUUGAGCAUUCUCCAUCUGAUCUGAGCAAAGGAGGUCCCAUGCAGAGCACUGGCUGUGAGCACACAUCACAGCCCUCAAUAACCUGUGUCCAUAAGCAAACCACAGGAAGGCUACAUGGGCAAUGUUAAUUCUCCCACUUGAUUUCCAAGUGCUUUCCUUUCCAACCCUCUAUUCUUCUACAUGUUUUAGUGUAAUAUCAUCUUUAGGUGCAGUUUCUCACAUUCACAUCCUGAGCAGUCACUGCCACAUAAACAGCCUGAAAACUGAAAUAAAUUGUGCUUAAUCAAAAAAUGAGAUCUGCCCUGCUAGGGAUAUGCGAGUCCGCUGCUUCAUCUAUUCUUUUUCUUGCCUGGAGGAUUUACUGCAUCUCCAGACUCCUGCUGCUGCUUCAAGAAGUGCCAUGAAGAAAGACAACAGCACGUAUCCAGGUGUAAUAUUCUGUACCGUGGGCAGAUGGUUACAAUUAUACUUCUAAAUAUCCUUUUGUCUUUACACUGACUCAAAAUUAAAUAUUAUUUUUUUAUAUGAUAAAAGUC